UACGUAGGUGGCAAGCGUUAUCCGGAUUUAUUGGGUGUAAAGGGCGUGUAGGCGGGAAUGCAAGUCAGAUGUGAAAACUCAGGGCUCAACCCUGAGCCUGCAUUUGAAACUGUAUUUCUUGAGUGCUGGAGAGGCAAUCGGAAUUCCGUGUGUAGCGGUGAAAUGCGUAGAUAUACGGAGGAACACCAGUGGCGAAGGCGGAUUGCUGGACAGUAACUGAUGCUGAGGCGCGAAAGCGUGGGGAGCAAACAGG
rnacentral:rRNA from 1 species